rnacentral:tRNA from 1 species
GGAGAGAUGUCCGAGUGGCUUAAGGUGGCAGUCUCGAAAACUGUCGUUCUCUAAAGGAACCGGGGGUUCAAAUCCCCCUCUCUCCG